AUUGAACGCUGGCGGCGUGCCUAACACAUGCAAGUCGAGCGGUAACAGGUGUAGCAAUACAUGCUGACGAGCGGCGAACGGGUGAGUAAUGCUUCGGAAUCUGCCCAUGUAGUGGGGAAUAACCAGCCGAAAGGUUGGCUAAUACCGCAUACGACCUACGGGUGAAAGCAGGGGAUCGCAAGACCUUGCGCUAUUGGAUGAGCCGAAGUCGGAUAGCUUGUUGGUGAGGUAACGGCUCACCAAGGCGACGAUCCGUAGCUGGUCUGAGAGGACGACCAGCCACACUGGGACUGAGACACGGCCCAGACUCCUACGGGAGGCAGCAGUGGGGAAUAUUGGACAAUGGGCGCAAGCCUGAUCCAGCGAUGCCGCGUGUGUGAAGAAGGCCUGCGGGUUGUAAAGC
rnacentral:rRNA from 1 species